rnacentral:pre_miRNA from 1 species
AUACAGGAAAUUAUUUAACGAGUGCGCAUUUAUUUUUUUAAUGCGCACUCGUUAAAUAUUUUCCUUU